UACGAAGGGUGCAAACGUUGCUCGGAAUUACUGGGCGUAAAGGGCUCGUAGGCGGCCAACUAAGUCAGACGUGAAAUCCCUCGGCUUAACCGGGGAACUGCGUCUGAUACUGGAUGGCUUGAGUUCGGGAGAGGGAUGCGGAAUUCCAGGUGUAGCGGUGAAAUGCGUAGAUAUCUGGAGGAACACCGUGGCGAGGACGGCGAUCCUGGACCGAGACUGACGCUGAGGAGCGAAAGCCAGGGGAGCAAACGGG
rnacentral:rRNA from 1 species